rnacentral:rRNA from 1 species
CCGCAACGAUGAAGAACGCAGCGAAAUGCGAUACGUAGUGUGAAUUGCAGAAUUCCGUGAACCAUCGAAUCUUUGAACGCAUAUUGCGCCCCACGGCCUCGGCCCAGGGCAUGUCUGCCUCAGCGUCUGUU